CCUACGGGGGGCAGCAGUGAGGAAUAUUGGUCAAUGGUCGAGAGACUGAACCAGCCAAGUCGCGUGAAGGAAGACGGCUCUAUGAGUUGUAAACUUCUUUUGUACAGGAGUAAAGUGAGACACGCGUGUUUUAUUGCAAGUACUGUACGAAUAAGCAUCGGCUAACUCCGUGCCAGCAGCCGCGGUAAUACGGAGGAUGCAAGCGUUAUCCGGAUUUAUUGGGUUUAAAGGGUGCGUAGGCGGUAUUACAAGUCAGGGGUGAAAUCUUGGUGCUUAACAUUAAAAUUGCCUUUGAAACUGUGGUACUUGAGUGUAAAAGAGGUAGGCGGAAUGUGUUGUGUAGCGGUGAAAUGCAUAGAUAUAACACAGAACCCCGAGUGCGAAGGCAGCUUACUAUCAUACAACUGACGCUGAUGCACGAAAGCGUGGGGAGCAAACAGGAUUAGAGACCCUUAGUC
rnacentral:rRNA from 1 species